rnacentral:rRNA from 1 species
GACAGAGGUCUCAAGCGUUAGGCGGAAUCACUGGGCUUAAAGCGUGUGUAGGCGGACUUCUAAGUGCCUUGUGAAAUCCCACGGCUCAACCGUGGAACUGCUGGGCAUACUGGUUGUCUUGGGCCAUCUAGGGGCUACUGGAACAAACGGUGGAGCGGUGAAAUGCGUAGAUAUCGUUUGGAACGCCAAUGGUGAAAACAAGUAGCUGGGGAUGUGCCGACGCUGAGACACGAAAGCCAGGGGGAGCGAACGGGG